rnacentral:rRNA from 1 species
CCAAUAGCGUAUAUUAAAGUUGUUGCAGUUAAAAAGCUCGUAGUUGAAUUUCGGGAUUGACACAUCGGUCGUGCCUUAAGGGGUAUGAACUGGUGUAGUCAAUUUCUCACCUUCUGGAGAACCGCGAUGUCCUUAAUUGGGUGCCGUGGGGAACCAGGACCUUUACUUUGAAACAAUUAGAGUGUUUAAAGCAGGCAUUUUUGCUUGAAUACAUUAGCAUGGAAUAAUAAAAUAGGACGGCAUGGUUCUAUUUUGUUGGUUUCUAGGACCACCGUAAUGAUUAAUAGGGAUAGUUGGGGGCAUUAGUAUUCAAUUGUCAGAGGUGAAAUUCUUGGAUUUAUUGAAGACUAACUACUGCGAAAGCAUUUGCCAAGGAUGUUUUCAUUAAUCAAGAACGAAAGUUAGGGGAUCGAAGACGAUCAGAUACCGUCGUAGUCUUAACCAUAAACUAUGCCGACUAGGAAUCAGACGAUGUUAAUUUUUUAAUGACUCGUUUGGCACCUUACG